AUGCAUAUGAUGAGUUACUCGGAUUCCCCUUCAGGACAUAUUGGAUGAUGCAUAUUCGAGUUUUCUGAUGCA